UCUUCCUCUCUUUUGCUAAACUCCUUCCCUACCUUCUCCUCCAAAUACCUCACCGUUUCUCAAGUCUCUAUAUCUCUCUGUUUCUACUUCUCUCUCUGAAAAGAACAGAGAGAAUAUCUAUUAUGGAUGAAAAAAUGAGGCAGGAGUUUCUUCAAGGCAACAUCAAAAACAUUAACAUUACCAUCUAUUGUGAGGAGACUACCAGUUUCUCUUCAAAACUCCUUUAUUGAUAUACCCCGGUGUUAUCCCUACCUGAGCUUUUUUUUUCUUUUUUUUUUUUUUCAACUCUUUUGUUCUAUUGAAUUAUUCUAUUUUCUUGACCUUGUAAGACCUUUUCUUGACCUUGUAAGACCCCACCCCCUUUUAAGUAUCUCAACCUUCUAUCCUUUUAAAGUCUCUCUACUAUCUCUUUUUGGUGUAGAAUGUGUAUGUAUCUCUACUCCUAGUUCAUUUGAGUCAGUUUUUCUACCUUGUCUAUCCCUUCUGAGCUAAAGUUUACAUAUUCUUGUUGGUCAUUGAUGUAAGGAGGUGAAAAAUGUCUCGCUAUCAUGGAUACUGGCAAAAAGUAAUGAAUAAGGAAACUGGCAAAAGGAAUUAUGCCUUUACUCUCUAUCUUUAAGGCUUUGGACAGGAAUUUACUUUUGUUUUAUAUGUUGUGUUUGUUUGGGUCUGACUGACCCCAAAGGCCAAAGCCGAACCAAAGAUCCCUCUUAUUAAAUAAUUCAUCAGAAUCAUUUAUUGCC